CCAACAUAAAAGUUGCAUUAUGCCUUUUGCUUGCUUCAUUGUUUCCUCAUCCACCAUCGGGUAGCUUGUCACAUGGGACUCUUCACCACCUAGUAAAUGCCCACCUCUCCAAGCUGAUCUGCUGACGCAGAACAACCCCAGCCAUACUGAAAAUACAUUCUGUUCCUCAGACACACUGUAUGGUCUCAGAGUCUGAUUUCACAUGUCGUGUUCUUUUUCUACACUGUGCCCUUACUCACAUGUGAAAUCACAGAAAAACUGCUCAUCCUCCCAGCUUCAAGUCAAACUCUGCCUUUUUACAGAAGCCGUCCCACAUUCUCUAAGAAGACAUCACUGGGGAAAGGUGGGCUGCUCCCUGCUCUGUGUUCCUCUAGUGCAAGAGUCGAGCACUUUGUAGUAACCUCUGUUAGAAAGCUCUCUAGAGGGAUGAUCUGUUUGCAAAUCUUGAAUGUCCUAUAAUUGUUUGAGCAUUGCAUCAGACCCUGAACUCUUUGAACACAAGGACCAUAUCUUUUGUUUCGUUUUAUUGAUAUUUAGAACUUUAAAAACAUCUGUAAGAAUACAGAAUCGACUGCAACCAAUGCCUGUGUUCCAAUUUUCCAGACUUGACCACUAUUAAUAUUGUUUUAUUUACUUCCAAUCUUAUCCUUUUGUUCCUCCUCUCACCCUUCAGAGGCAAAGAUGGAAGCAAAGUAACCAGACAAAGGGAUCCCAGAGUAGAUGUAGAUGUUUAAGAAGUGCUGGGGUAGGGUAGGGGUAAUCGGGGAGGAGCAGGAAAUCAGUGAAAUGUAAUCAGUGGAAGCAUUCUUUUUUUUUUUUUUUUUUGUCUUUUUAGGGCCGCACUUGAGGCAUAUGGAGUUUCCCAGGCUAGGGGUCAAAUCGGAGCUGUAGCUGCCGCCCUAUGCCAGAGCCACAACAAUGCCAGAUCUGAGCUGAGUCUGUGACCAACACCACAGCUGGCGGCCACGUUGGAUUCUUAACCCACUGAGCGAGGCCAGGGAUUGAACCCAGGUUCUCAUGGCUGCUAAUCAGGUUCGUUAACUGCUGAGCAAUGACAGAAACUCCAGUCAAGGCAUUUUUGUAAUGAGCUUUGAAACAGCAGAAAUCCACUUUUUCCUUAAAAACACUGUCGUCCCAGAGAUGAAAGGCGCAUUUGAGCUGUGUACUGGUGGCAAACUGAAAACACUAAAUAAAAGAAAGUCUUACUUUAUGUGGUUCCGGCUUAAAAAAAAAAAAAAAAAAGAUUUUGAAGAAUAUGGCAACACUUAAGCCCUAGUGGAGCUUAUUUUGAGUUUGUAUUGGUGCUUGUUCAGAGAAUUCUCUCAACCAGCUGAGAAGACUAUGUACCAAAAUAUUAAUUGUGAGUAUCUUUGGGUGGUGAAAUUGGACGCAAUCUUUUUAUUCUGUUUGCCAAUCUUCAUUUUUUAGAGCAAUGUAGAAAAGAGAAACUGCUUUAAAAACUACAUCCAAGGAUAAUGAAACAGUUUGAGAAAUGUUUUUCACGAGAGACCUAGAGGAUUUGAAGAGCUAGAGAUUAUAUACUGUUAGUCUAGAAUUGGAAGCUUGAACUAUAAUGAGAUUUCUCCCUGUCGGGAUUACGGAUUGACUGUACCACCCAGAGAACAAACAGCUGACCUCAAAUCACAUGCCAAUAUAUUCACAAUUAAACAAUCAUUCAAGAAGCUAUAAAGCACACAAAAUGCAUAGUGGCUAAAAAUAAUAAACAAAUGAAGCUUCUGUGUUUUCUUGCCUGAGAACAAGGAGCCUGUUCUUUUAGUAUUUAUAGUGAAAUAGUGAGACUCUGUGGGAAAAAAUACAGCAGUUGGUAAGUGUUCUCAGUGAGGCAUUGCAAACAUGUCAUAGAAUCUGGGUGCUUCUGGCUUUACCUGUGGUUGGCUAAGAUGAAAGAUGAACAGAUGGCCAGGGGACCUCUAGAUUCCCAAUUUGAUACAGCAAGUGACCAUUCUGAAACCUCAUUUUUUACCCUCUGAAUUUUUCCUUUCUGGGUUUUGAAAUAAGAGAAAUAUUAAUGUCAUGAUGAGAAAGUAAUUUAUUUAGAGUUCUCCCACAUCUGCUACCAAAACAGGUUGUUUUUUUCCCCUAAAAGUGACAUCUCUAUUGCAGGACAGAUUACAAUUGAUAAAACAGUUUCAAAAGCGUCACAAAAUUUGGAAGCAUUUUGAAAGCAGAACCGUUUUCUCCAUGUAUUCAGUCCUAUGUAUUUGGCAGAAAAAGAGCAACGAAGCAAAGUACCCAGCUUGGUUUCUUUUAAUUUAGUUCCCCUCGCUUCUUGAGGGAGGAUAUUUGUGCUAACGCUUGCUAUUUGGACCUGCGAGUGAUGGGGGUAGUUUUUGGCAAACCUCUGCACUCACCAGUCCUGAAAUACCUUUUUAGCGUGGAGUCAGACAGCCACACUUCCCUGAGGACCACUUGCCAGGACGCCACAGGGUGCAACCAAAUCCUAUAGUGUGAAAUGGAGGAUCAGUGGCAGCACUGGUGUCUGAUGGACAGUGAACUGCGGAUGGCAGGUCAGCCGGCCAGGCUCCAUUCCAACGAAUGCCCUUUAGAGCACUGACCUUCUCUUUGCUGGGCCUCAACAUCUAGAGAGUUCUAAUUACUAUGGGGAAUUCUGCUGAUAAUUCUGGAAAUAAUUGAAGGCAUUCACUUGUUCAGUAGUUCAGUCAGUCAACAAGUAUUUCUUGGGCACCUAUGACAUCUUAAGCACUAAUAGAUGCAAAGAAUUCACAAGAAUAGACACUUAGACCUGUGAGAGUGUUUCAUAAUUUACCACGUUCAUCUGUUAUGUCAAAGAAGAUAUAGUCUUUGCACUCAAAAAGUUUACAAUUUGGAUUUCCUGUCGUGGCUCAGUGGAAACAAAUCUGACUAGUAUCCAUGAGGAUGCAAGUUCAAUCCCUGGCCUCACUCAGUGAGUUAAAGAUCUGGCGUUGCCAUGAGCUGUGGUGUAGGUAGGUCACAGACAUGGCUUGGAUCUGGCAUUGUUGUGGCUGUGGUGUAGGCCGAUGACUACAGCUCAGAUUCAAUCCCUAGCCUAGGAACCUCCAUAUGCUGCAGGUACGGCU
rnacentral:lncRNA from 1 species